AUGGGGCAUUAGGCCUUUCCCUCCUUGCCCCCUCCCCUUCCCUUUCCGAGAUAGUAGGGUUCCAAUUGCUAUGCCUUUGCCUCAGGGAGACAUGCUACAAUUUGGGCAGUUUCUGCCCUUGACAUUUAUUGGCAGGGAUUUUCUAGCAGCAGACCAUAAGGGCUGGGCUGGAGGUUUUGGUGGCUGCACUAAGCAGAGUUUCCCUCCUGAGCUGCCUCAAGGAAGGCACAUUCUGUAGCAGAGAAGGUUUUCCCUCCCCUCCCUUUAAAAUAAACUCUUGAUAAGUUGUUGCCUGGGUGAGUCAUGCUCUUUCCUCAAGCCUCAACUCAUGAUUUUUAGGUCACAGAGGAAAUUUGCAGACAACUCCUUCCUUUAAUACUUAAGGAAUUGUUGUCUGGAGGGAGUCACACUCUCUUAGCCCCAGGAAGGCACAUAAAUUCUUCUCAUUAACUGUGUCAUCAAAUACUAAGGCCUACAUUUUAUUGCAUACUUCAUGUUAGGAGUUAAGCUUUGGCCUCGUGUUAGGCUUUAAGCUCUUGCAAUUAUCUUGUUUCAGGCCUCAUGUUAGGCUUUAAAUCUUGGGAGGCAUCCAUCUUGUUUUAGGCCUCAUGUUCAGCUUUAUAGCCUUUGUCAAUAUAUAAGAAAGCCUUCUUUUGGAGGUCUCAAUUUUGUUCAGGCUUCAUGCCUUUGGAUUGUUGUUGCCUCAGGCUGGGACCAUUCUGAAGGAUGCCAUGUGAACUUCUCCUGUAUCUGAAAAGCCCUCCAGUUUCUGCCUGGUCAGGCUCAUGGCCUAACAAACUACAGGGCAUCAGAUUUGGUCUGUUCUGAAAGCUGCGCAGACAUACUCUCUUGGCCUCAGAGCAGGGCAUGGACACACUAUUGACACUUCAGGCUCGUUUCAAUGAUGGAGAGGCAUGGAGCCUAUCACGUGAUGUUGAACUACUUCCGGCUGUCAUGGGUUCCCAUCCAUCACAGAAAUGAGCCUGAAGGAGGGAACUCCCACCAUGGACAGAGAGCAAUGGAGAGCAGUGUUUGGCUGGGGAGGUGGUGGCAGAGGCAGCAGAGAAAAAAGAGAAAGAGAAAAAGAGAGGUUUUUUCAGCUGAUAGAGAAGGAGGAAAAGCAGGGAGGACUUCAGAAGCCUUCCCCCAUGUGAUGAAUGUGAAGGCAGGCAACAAGGAGUCAAGAACACUUCAAGAAAACAGUGGGAUGGGAAGGAAUAAAAGUUUCAUGGAACGAUUUGCAACUGAAAGCAUUAUUGCCAUCACUAUAGAAGCAGACCUCUACAAAUCUGUAAGUCCAUGUGAUGAAGUUGUAGGCCUUGGAUGUGUGGGUAUAGGGCCAUUACCUUGUAGCUUUGUGUGGAAAUAGAUCUACAUUCAAUUCCUGUCAUUUCCAUUUACUCUUCCGUUUGAAAACAUAAAAUUGAAUUACAAAUUUGGAAGGAAAUUCAAAGACCACUAGGUUAAACAUUCUUCCAGUGCAGGAAAUCUACUAUAAAUGCAUCUCUAUUAGGUGCUUCAGUUCAAACAAGGCUCUAAUGAAGGAGGCCUCACCAGCUUCUGAGAUAAUAUGUUUCACUGUCAGUUUUUCUACCAAGAAGGAAGUUUUUUUAAUGUUCUGUUAGCACUCCCAGUUUUCUUAUUUGAACACAAUUGAACAGUUCUUACCUUGUGGUAUAAGAGAAAAUCCAUUUUUUUAGCUAUGUGGCAAUCUUUUAAACAUUUUACCUUGUUUGACUUUAUCAAACAGGCCUUUUUUUAGCACACUAGGAUACUGCCCUGCCAGUCCAGUGAUGCAUGGGCAUGAUACCAAUCACAUGAUGUUGCUGGACUUCUGGUGGAGGCCCUGCCCACAACUGGAAUGAAAGCAUUGUACAAUGCUUCCCUCACAACACAAGAGCCUUCCCAUGUUGUGCUGGCUCCAGUGGAGCAGCACAGAUCUGCGCCGCUUCGGCGAUGCUUCCCCCGUGUUGGGAUUUUUUUAAGGAACCAUACCUCAUUGCUACUUCAUGUUUAGUUCACAUAUCAAACCUAUUCUUUUUGUGUGUGCUUCUAAGUGAGAUGUCUCCAUCCUGUGUUUGUUCAAAUUUUAUAAAAAUCCAAUCCCUCCCCUGCACAAAAUUAGGUCUCGUCUCCCUGCCAGCCAGGAGGGGAGGGCUAUUUGCUGUCGCCCCCCCCCAAUGAAGGAAGGCUCAGUUUGAUUUAGUCUCAGCUGGGAUUAUUUUUUUGUUUGGCUGGCCCAACCUAUUAAAGGUUGAACAGUCCCUUCAGGUCGGAAACUGGGAGGAGUUACAUUUCAGUGUGCACUUAAGGCACCCUGGUGAAGACCAGGAAUGGUAACCUCCACCUGUGUGUUAGCGUAACCAAGAGGGCAGUAAAUGGAAAUGGCCUAGGAGAUGCGUGGGAAUUCGAACCCCACUGAAGCCUCAUGGCUUGGGGUUGGAAUAAUCAAGGUAGCUUUCCUAAAGGGUUGCCCUGGGAAUAACCCAAGUGAAGCAAAGUUGUGCUUGGGGGACUGAGGUGUCUAUCCCAAGUAAGCUGAGGAGAAGGUUGGGGAGGGCCUACUGCCUCUGAUUAUCCCAUAUCACGUUCCUCCAUCACACAGUUUAUUGCAGUUCAUGAAGAAAAUUUAAAUUGGUAAUAAUGAAGUUGCCCAUAGUUAUUCCGAUAUGGUUGCCUGCUUCAUUAUUUCAGUGGCGGGGGAGCAAAUGUCCUGAAGGGCAUAAUACCAUCAGAACACAUAUAGAAAAUUGUGUGCAGUAGGUGAUAAUAUUUGAAAUUUCUCAUUCAUACACAGGGAAAUAAGCAAAGAUCUAUAUCUAAUAUAGGCAAUACAGAGUUAGAUGGGCUAAUGGUCUGAUUCAAAAGAAGACAAAUUCCCAAUUCUUAGAAUUUAGAAAGAGAACUUGGAAAAAUUACUUUUCUGAACUACAGUUCUCUGAAAUCCCCAGACACCAUGGUCAUACUAUUUGAGGUAAUCUGGGAGUUCUAACCUAAAAACUGUAUUUUCCUAACUUGCACCCUUAUAGUCAUUUAGAUAUUCUAUUUUUGUUGCUUAAUGUAAUGUGAUUCAAAAAUAAUUAUUAGUGGAUGCUUCAGGUAUCCAAAAUUUUGAGUCAUAAAAUGUUAGAGGUUUUAUGCCAAAUUUGAGAUAAAGUUAACAAAUUAGAAGCAGCAUAUGACAUGGGUGAAACAUGAAAUAGUGAAAUAAGUUAAUACAUUCUGUUCCACUUCCACACACUUUUUUCUGUUGCUUUGUCUCAUCAAACUAAAUACUCAAAUGACAUUUUCACUAAAAAGGAUGAGUAAUUUACAACAGUCAGUGCCAUAAAAGAUCAACAUGUACCAGAAUAAUAUGAAAACAUGAAAACACACCCAGUAAAAUGUGAUUCAUGCUUGCAAAAUGCCCAGGUUCACAAUUCUUUUUAUACCUCCUGUUUUGCAAUGCAUUGCAAAUACAUGGGGACCUGUAAAUGUUGCCUGAACUUUACAAUCGGCCAAUAAAAUAAAUACAAUGUUCCAAUUA